rnacentral:rRNA from 1 species
CCUACGGGUGGCUGCAGUGGGGAAUAUUGGACAAUGGGGGGAACCCUGAUCCAGCCAUGCCGCGUGUGUGAAGAAGGCCCUCGGGUUGUAAAGCACUUUCAGUGAGGAAGAACGCCUGGUGGUUAAUACCCAUCAGGAAAGACAUCACUCACAGAAGAAGCACCGGCUAACUCCGUGCCAGCAGCCGCGGUAAUACGGAGGGUGCGAGCGUUAAUCGGAAUUACUGGGCGUAAAGCGCGCGUAGGUGGCUUGAUAAGCCGGUUGUGAAAGCCCCGGGCGCAACUUGGGAACGGCAUCCGGUACUGUCCAGCUAGAGUGCAGUAGAGGAAGGUAGAAUUCCCGGUGUAGAGGUGAAAUGCGAAGAGAUCGGGAGGAAUUCCAGUGGCGAAGGCGGCCUUCUGGACUGACACUGACACUGGGGUGCGAAAGCGUGGGUAGCAAACAGGAUUAGAUACCCUUGUAGUC